rnacentral:rRNA from 1 species
ACCUGCCCUUGGGAGGGGAACAACAGCUGGAAACGGCUGCUAAUACCCCAUAGGCUGAGGAGCAAAAGGAGGAAUCCGCCCAAGGAGGGGCUCGCGUCUGAUUAGUUAGUUGGUGAGGCAAUGGCUUACCAAGGCGACGAUCAGUAGCUGGUCCGAGAGGAUGAUCAGCCACACUGGGACUGAGACACGGCCCAGACUCCUACGGGAGGCAGCAGUGGGGAAUUUUCCGCAAUGGGCGAAAGCCUGACGGAGCAAUGCCGCGUGAAGGCAGAAGGCCCACGGGUCAUGAACUUCUUUUCUCGGAGAAGAAAAAAUGACGGUAUCUGAGGAAUAAGCAUCGGCUAACUCUGUGCCAG